UACGUAGGUUGCUAGCGUUGUCCGGAAUUAUUGGGCGUAAAGGGGGCGCAGGCGGAGCUUUAAGCGAAUCUUAAAAGUGCGGGGCUUAACGCCGUGAUGGGUUUCGAACGGGAGUUCUUGAGUGCAGGAGAGGAAAGUGGAAUUCCCAGUGUAGCGGUGAAAUGCGUAGAUAUUGGGAAGAACACCAGUGGCGAAGGCGGCUUUCUGGACUGUAACUGACGCUGAGGCUCGAAAGCCAGGGUAGCGAACGGG
rnacentral:rRNA from 1 species